UCGGAAGGCAGCAGUGGGGAAUAUUGCACAAUGGGCGCAAGCCUGAUGCAGCCAUGCCGCGUGUAUGAAGAAGGCCUUCGGGUUGUAAAGUACUUUCAGUCGUGAGGAAGGUGUUAAGGUUAAUAACCUUAGCAAUUGACGUUAGCGACAGAAGAAGCACCGGCUAACUCCGUGCCAGCAGCCGCGGUAAUACGGAGGGUGCGAGCGUUAAUCGGAAUUACUGGGCGUAAAGGGCACGCAGGCGGUUAAUUAAGUUGGAUGUGAAAUCCCCGGGCUUAACCUGGGAAUGGCAUUCAAGACUGGUUAGCUAGAGUCUUGUAGAGGGGGUUAGAAUUCCAUGUGUAGCGGUGAAAUGCGUAGAGAUGUGGAGGAAUACCGGUGGCGAAGGCGGCCCCUGGACAAAGGACUGACGCUCAUGUGCGAAAGCGUGGGGAGCAAACG
rnacentral:rRNA from 1 species